rnacentral:rRNA from 1 species
UGGGGAAUAUUGGACAAUGGGCGAAAGCCUGAUCCAGCCAUGCCGCGUGUGUGAAGAAGGUCUUCGGAUUGUAAAGCACUUUAAGUUGGGAGGAAGGGCAGUAAGCGAAUACCUUGCUGUUUUGACGUUACCGACAGAAUAAGCACCGGCUAACUCUGUGCCAGCAGCCGCGGUAAUACAGAGGGUGCAAGCGUUAAUCGGAAUUACUGGGCGUAAAGCGGGCGUAGGUGGUUCGUUAAGUUGAAUGUGAAAGCCCCGGGCUCAACCUGGGAACUGCAUCCAAAACUGGCGAGCUAGAGUAGGGCAGAGGGUGGUGGAAUUUCCUGUGUAGCGGUGAAAUGCGUAGAUAUAGGAAGGAACACCAGUGGCGAAGUCGACCACCUGGGCUCAUACUGACACUGAGGUGCGAAAGCGUGGGGAGCAAACAGG